CUGGUCUAAGAAGGGAGCUCUUGGUGAGGAGAUGGAAGACCUCCUGGAUAAACUUGAUGAACAGACAUCCAACACUGUGUCCAACGGGCACUGAGAGGCCUGCCCAUUUUCCUCAAGAGAAGAUGCAACAGAGGUUUUCCUGAAGUGCUUAGACACUGACAUUUUGGAACCAGUGUUGAACGGUGCAUCAGUUGCCAUCCUCACCAUCCUACAAGAUGACGAUGCUGAUACAUCUGUGCGAGAACAUGCAGUUGUGUUGGAAGGGGACAUUGUGCUACAUAACAUUCCAGAUCUCUCUACUGCCCUGGCACACCUCUUUGGCCUUCUGUAUGCCCUCAACAUUGAUUAUCCAAAGCAGAUGAGUUUUACCUUUGAAGCAAUUCAGGCCAUCUUAUUUUGGCCUGGUCGGACAAUAUGAAGGUGAAGUGGAUAAAUCAUUAUUCGAAAUGUAAAUUUUAGUCAGAUGAAUCUGUAUUGUUGAGAAUAUAUGGUGAAAAUUUGUCUUGUAGUAUUUUAAAAGAUUUGUUAUAGUGUUAGUUUCCUCUUCAUUGAUGGUAACAUUUCUAA